GCGGAGCGGCCCCACCCGUUCCCAUGCCGAACACGGUCGUGAAACGCUCCUGCGCCGACGGUACUGCCCGGGCGACCGGGUGGGAGAAUAGGUCACUGCC
rnacentral:rRNA from 1 species